rnacentral:rRNA from 1 species
AUACAGAGGGUGCGAGCGUUAAUCGGAAUUACUGGGCGUAAAGCGCGCGUAGGCGGUUAUUUAAGUCGGAUGUGAAAUCCCUGGGCUCAACCUAGGAACUGCAUCUGAAACUGGAUAACUAGAGUUUAGGAGAGGGGAGUAGAAUUUCGGGUGUAGCGGUGAAAUGCAUAGAGAUCCGAAGGAAUACCAGUGGCGAAGGCGACUCCCUGGCCUAGAACUGACGCUGAGGUGCGAAAGCGUGGGUAGCAAACGGGAUUAGAAACCCUAGUAGUCC